CUCCGCCGGGAUCCUCCCCGGGGCCGGUCCCGGCCGCCCCCCGCGUCCCCUCCCCGCCAGCCGUGACCUUGGCAUCCUCCGGCCGCGGGGACGGCGCCGGGGACGGCCGCCGUGGGAUGCGUUAGGCGGCGGAUCGCACGGGAAUAUUCCCCCCCAAGGGAGAAGGAGAGCGGCAGCCUCCUCCCGCGGCCGGGGAGCGGCAGGAAAAGCGGAUUUAAAGAGCAUCUUUGGCCCCUUUGUUGGAUGAGAAGGACGGGGAAGGAGCGGCAGGAUGAGCACUAGCACAGUUCCCUACCAGCAGAACCCCUACAGCCCCGGGAGCAGCUCCUCUGCCAUCCAGUGCUACCGCUGCGGGGACACCUGCAAGGGCGAGGUGGUGCGCGUGCAGAGCAACCACUUCCACAUCCGCUGCUUCACCUGCCAAGUGUGCGGCUGCGACCUGGCCCAGUCGGGCUUCUUCUUCAAGAACCAGGAGUACAUCUGCACGCACGACUACCAGCAGCUCUACGGGACCCGCUGUGACAGCUGCGGGGACUUCAUCACCGGCGAGGUGAUCUCGGCCCUGGGCAGGACCUACCACCCCAAGUGCUUUGUCUGCAGCACCUGCAGGAAGCCGUUCCCCAUCGGAGACAAGGUGACGUUCAGCGGCAAGGACUGCGUCUGCCAAAACUGCUCCCAGGCCCUCCUCAGCACCAAGCCCAUCAAGAUCCACGGGCCCAGCCAGUGCGCCGGCUGCAAGGAGGAGAUCAAGCAGGGCCAGUCCCUGCUGGCCCUGGAGAAGCAGUGGCACGUCAGCUGCUUCAAGUGCCAAACGUGCGGGAUCAUCCUCACCGGCGAGUACAUCAGCAAGGAUGGCAUCCCCUACUGCGAGUCCGACUACCACGCCCAGUUCGGCAUCAAGUGCGAGACCUGUGACCGCUACAUCAGCGGCCGCGUCCUGGAGGCAGGAGGGAAGCACUACCACCCCACCUGUGCCAGAUGUGUGCGCUGCCACCAGAUGUUCACAGAGGGAGAGGAGAUGUACCUGACAGGCUCUGAAGUGUGGCACCCCAUCUGCAAGCAGGCAGCCAGAGCAGAGAAGAAGCUGAAGCACAGAAGGACGUCGGAAACCUCCAUCUCCCCCCCUGGCUCCAGCAUCGGCUCCCCAAACCGCGUCAUCUGCGCUAAAGUGGAUAAUGAGAUCCUUAAUUACAAAGACCUGGCAGCUCUUCCCAAGAUUAAAGCCAUCUAUGAAGUGCAGCGUCCUGACCUCAUUUCCUACGAGCCCUAUCACAGAUACACGUCGGAUGAGACGCUGGAGAGAUAUAGCUAUGGGGAGUCCCUGGGGACCCUCUCCCCAUACUCACAGGACAUCUACGAGAGCUUUGACAUGCGGCAGAGACGAGCCUCCAGCCCCGGCUACAUCGACUCCCCCACCUACAGCCGCCAGGGCAUGUCCCCCACCAUCCCCAGGUCCCCGCACCACUUCUACCGCUCAGGCACCGAGAGCGGGCGCAGCUCCCCCUACUAUAGCCAGUUAGAUGUGAGGUCCUCCACUCCAACCUCAUACCAAGCGCCCAAGCAUUUCCACAUCCCAGCUGCCGGCGAGAGCAACAUCUACAGGAAGCCCCCCAUCUACAAGCGCCACGCCACCAAAAGCAAAACCAGCGAGGACAUCGCGCAGUCAUCCAAGUACAGCCCCGCCUACUCCCCAGACCCCUACUACCACUCCGAGUCGGAGUACUGGUCCUUCCAAGGCUCCCCCAAAGCUCCCCGGGCCCGGAGGUUCUCGUCGGGUGGCGAGGAGGAUGGGUAUGACCGGGGCAUGCACAAGAUCCAGAGUGGAAUCGGGAGGCUGAUCCUGAGGGAGGAGAUGAAGGCUCGGUCCAACUCCUACGCAGACCCCUGGACCCCCCCUCGCAGCUCGGCCAGCAGCAGAGAGGCCCUGCACACAGCGGGCUACGAGGGCUCCCUCAACGGCUCUCCCCGAACCCACUACCUGGCCGACAGCGAUCCCCUCAUUUCGAAGUCGGCCUCCCUUCCUGCCUACAGGAGGAACGGGCUGCACAGGCCUCCCAGCGCCGAGCUCUUCCACUACGACAGCACCAACGCCGUCAACUGGGGGAUGCGAGAGUACAAGGUAAGAGCUCUCUGCAAGGAGCGCCAGCCGGAGGUGGGAGUGUCCGUGUGUCCGUGUGUCCCUGUGUCCGUGUGUCCGUGUGUCCCUGUGUCCCUGUGUCCCUGUGUCCCUGUGUCCGUGUGCCCCUGUGUCCGUGUGUCCCUGUGUCCCUGUGUCCCUGUGUCUGUGUGUCCCUGUGUCCCUGUGUCCCUGUGUCCCUGUGUCUGUGUGUCCCUGUGUCCCUGUGUCCAUGUGUCCCUGUGUCCCUGUGUCCGUGUGUCCCCGUGUCCCUGUGUCCCUGUGUCCCUGUGUCCCUGUGUCCCUGUGUCCGUGUGUCCCUGUGUCCAUGUGUCCCUGUGUCCGUGUGUCCCUGUGUCCCUGUGUCCCUGUGUCCCUGUGUCCAUGUGUCCCUGUGUCCCUGUGUCCCUGUGUCCCUGUGUCCCUGUGUCCCUGUGUCCGUGUGUCCGUGUGUCCGUGUGUCCAUGUGUCCAUGUGUCCCUGUGUCCCUGUGUCCCUGUGUCCCUGUGUCCGUGUGUCCCUGUGUCCGUGUGUCCCUGUGUCCCUGUGUCCCUGUGCCCCUGUGUCCGUGUGUCCCUGUGUCCCUGUGUCCCUGUGUCCGUGUGUCCCUGUGUCCAUGUGUCCAUGUGUCCAUGUGUCCCUGUGUCCCUGUGUCCCUGUGUCCGUGUGUCCGUGUGUCCCUGUGUCCCUGUGUCCCUGUGUCCGUGUGUCCCUGUGUCCCUGUGUCACUGUGUCCGUGUGUCCCUGUGUCCCGGUGUCCCUGUGUCCCUGUGUCCCUGUGUCCCUGUGUCCCUGUGUCCGUGUGUCCCUGUGUCCCUGUGUCCCUGUGUCCCUGUGUCCCUGUGUCCGUAUGUCCCUGUGUCCCUGUGUCCAUGUGUCCCUGUGUCCCUGUGUCCCUGUGUCCCUGUGUCCCUGUGUCCAUGUGUCCCCGUGUCCGUGUGUCCCUGUGUCCCCGGGCUCUCCAGAGGGAAGCUUUGCCCCCUGCCUUUGUUCCCCUCCACCGUGGGGCUGACGGAGCCCCCGCCCCGCUGCCGGUGCCGGGCUGAGCGCUGAGCGCUGAGCGCUGAGCGCGGCUGUCCCCCGGCCGAGGAGCAGAGCACAACCGAGGGAGGUUGUGCUGCCGGCGUCCUGCUCGCACCCGUGCCUGGGUCACUCCUGCUUUUACAGAGCGAGCAGGUUAUUCCAGAGCCACCACGGAGACUGAGGGUGGAUCAGAGUCACCCCGGGAGCAAUUCCCACCUCUCCCCGUCCCGUCCGAGCCCCGGGGUCAGCUGUGCCACCCAAGCCUGUUAAACACAGCCCGAGGCUUUGCCCUCUGCUCCCAAGCGUGCCCCAAGUGUCUCGUGGCUGCCCCGUGGUGUCCCUGUCCCCUGUGCAGAUCUACCCCUACGAGCUGCUCCUGGUGAAGACGAGGGGGAGGAACCAGCUGCCCAAAGACGUGGACAGGACUCGGUUAGAGAGGCACCUGUCCCAGGAGGAAUUCUACCAGAUCUUCGGGAUGACCAUGGCCGAGUUCGACCGCCUGGCGCUGUGGAAGAGGAACGAGCUGAAGAAGCAGGCCCGGCUGUUUUAAAUGCAGUGCACUAUAAAUAUAUACAUACCUAUAAAUAUAUACAUAGAGAGACCUCUA